GGAUUUGGUUUUGUGUUCAUAUUUUUAGUGUUUUGGGUUGGGUUGUUUUGGAAUGCGUUUGAGCUGUUUUUAUGUCCAGUUUUCUUUUGAUAGUAUUUAAUUUUAAAAAGAUUAGUAAAAUGUUUUUGAACAUAACUGUUUAAUUUUGAAGCAAUUGUUUUAAAAUUAAAUAAGUUUAAAAAAAUUUAAUAUAAUUUAAAAUUUUAAGGUUUUUUACUUCUCUCUGUUAAUUUGUCCAAAACAGUAACAGUGAUUUAAAGAAGGUUUUAAUUACCAUAAAUGUUACCGUUGCAUUAUUCGUAAUCUGAACCUGCUUUUAUGUUAUUUGGACAUCAUGCUUUGGAUUUUUCUGUUUAGUUUUAAAGAAUUUUUUAUCCGGUACAGAUUUUUAACUGGCCUGCUGUAGUUAAUUUUCUUUCUUAUUCUGCUCCGAGUGCCUGAAUAGCUUCUUCAGUAGUUGCUUUUUUUUGUCUGGAUAAUAGUUAGAUAGAAGUAUAAUUUGUUCCGAGCUUUCUUAUUGCCCGCAAUAGGACGACAUUUUCCGGAAAUUAAUUAACUAUCCGUAAAA
rnacentral:lncRNA from 1 species